CCUACGGGUGGCUGCAGUGGGGAAUAUUGCGCAAUGGGCGAAAGCCUGACGCAGCGACGCCGCGUGAGGGAUGAAGGUCUUCGGAUCGUAAACCUCUGUCAGCAGGGAAGAACGGUCAAUGUGCUAAUCAGCAGUGAAUUGACGGUACCUGCAAAGGAAGCACCGGCUAACUCCGUGCCAGCAGCCGCGGUAAUACGGAGGGUGCGAGCGUUAAUCGGAAUUACUGGGCGUAAAGCGCUCGUAGGCGGGAUGUCAAGUCAAGGGUGAAAUCCCCGCGCUAAACGUGGGAACUGCCUUUGAAACUGGAAAACUGGAGUGUGUGAGAGGAUAGUGGAAUUCCAGGUGUAGGAGUGAAAUGCGUAGAUAUCAGGAGGAACAUCAGUGGCGAAGGCGACUAUCUGGCACAUAACUGACGCUGAGGAGCGAAAGCGUGGGUAGCAAACAGGAUUAGAUACCCGAGUAGUC
rnacentral:rRNA from 1 species